AGGAUUCAGUUUGGAGUUGCAGUUGCGCUGGUCGGGGGCUUCCCCGGGGCCGUUCGACUGCGAAAGCCAGACGCAUUUGUCUCCCGUUCGAAGGACGCCGCAGCCUGUCUGGCAGUGCAAACGUGACGGCCUGAAAGGCGGGCGAUGGCAGGUGGCCGGUGGCGAGUCUCGUGCUUGCUAUCGGUUGUUAGCCGGUCCGUCGGUGGCACGUCGCCAGACAGAUGUACCGAGAUGCCCUUAGGGGCGUUCCCACCUCCUUGCGGGACAGAACGUCGCGAGCGAAGGCAGCCGCUCGGCCGCACUCUGUCGGAGUGGGCCAGUGGCCGGCGGCGACGGCGGGGCCCGUCGGAGGUUUGGAGGUUUGCGGCGAGUAGGUCGGUCACCCACCCGACCCGUCUUGAAACACGGACCAAGGAGUCUAACAUGUGCGCGAGUCAAUGGGUCUCGAAUAAGCCCAGAGGCGCAAUGAAAGCGAAGGUCGGCUUAACGUCGACCGAGUCGGGAUGGGCGCACCGACGACCCGUCCUGUGCGGCUUGCCGCUUGGGCGGAGUGAGAGCGUACACGUUGGGACCCGAAAGAUGGUGAACUAUGCCC
rnacentral:rRNA from 1 species